AAUUCCCUGUCCGCAAUACACAAUUCCUGCCACCAAAAUUCUUAUCAAUUUUUCCAAACAUCUUUCUCUCUCAAAAACCCUUGCACUUCCCAAUAUCCUCUCCUGAGAUUAUUUUUCUUUUUUCCCCAUUCAAACCCUCAUUAUUCAUCAUCCCCUUACCCAGAAUCUCACACGCCACUCUCACAUCAUGACUUCAUCUGAAAAACACCACCUUGUGAUCAUACCAUAUGAAAAUCCAUAAAUCCCAUUCAUCUUGCCCGAUGUCAUGCUCGUCGAUUCCUUCGGUUUGACACAUCUUGCAUGCCCUCUCAUGGUAGACUCUUCGACUCAGAGAGAAGAACAAUUUCAGGAAAAUGAUUCCUAUUGUGAGGGGGAACUAAAAUCGACCAAGGAAUAGGUUCAUACUACUCAUAGCGAUGAUGAGAAUACUCUUUUGGUUAUGAUGAUCCUGAGACAACUUCGUUCCUGACUUCGUCAAGUCUCUAGAAAAUACCCAAAAACCCCUCCCUCUACUCCAUUAAUGUCACUAGGUCAGUACAACGUGAUUUGGAUGUUUCUCUACUCAUAAGGUCUACUAAGAAGUCUCAUGGAAUAAAAGAAUGGUAAGAACAAACUAUUAAAGAUGUGUUAGGGGAGGUGGAUCAGGCUGUGAUACCUCCUACAUCUAGGGGUGCAAAUGCUCCUGUACACUGCUUGAAGGUAGUGUUAACUAUGAAGAAUGAAGAAAUUGCCGCUCUUAAGGUCGCAUACUCAGUUGCCCUAGAUCAAUUGCACAUCAGUUAUGGACUUGCACAUGCUGGCUUGGUGGAAGAAAAUUCUAGGCUUAAGGAUGAGCUAGCCAAAACUCAAGCAACGUUGGAGUUAAAGAGAUCCUCAAACUUAGUACAUUUGAAGACUCUUGUUGAGUUGUUUGUUGUUUGUCCUUCAUCCUCCUCUGUACCACCCUCUAUGUACAUAUACCUUCUGUGAUGCGUCAAGUGUUCUUAAAAUCAUCUUUGAAUUGUAAUGUGCUUUCCUAUUUGUUGUUGACGAUGGUUUUUGUUGCUUUCUUCUUUUGUGUAUCCUAUGACUAAUGAAUUGUGGAUUGUUUUGUUA